UGCGUUUUGGGGCUACAUGUGUGUGACCUUUGAGAUCUCAUUUCAGACUCAACUCUCCUCCAAUGCUCUCUCUCGUAUGCGAUUUCCGGCGAGAGCUCCGCCGCAUCAUCACCACCAAGCCAUCGUCAGAACACCCUGGAACCAAAACUUCCCCAUAUAAAACCCGCAUAGAACUACUCUCUGAACCUAAAUCCAUCCUCAAUUUCCCCUAUGAACAAGCCUAACGCAUGGAUCGGAAGCAACCGGUGAAAAACCCUAACUUCCCCAAACCCGAAAUCGAACAUAAAUUGAACCUAAAUUCCUUCAAUUAUUGUUACAUGAAGCUCAAACAACACCGUAAACAAAGAAGAUUAAAGAGGUUUUAGGCUUACCGACCGGAGCAGUUUCGGUGACUCUUCAACGCCGAUGACGGUAACGGAAGACCAGUAGCUCGACGCGAAAUAAACGCGGAGUCUUGAAGAAGAAACUUAGCUUUAAGCAAAUACGAAGACGGCGACGACGAACCCUAGGUCUGCGGUUUGAAUGCUGCGAGGAUACCUUUUUGUUCACGGCGAGACUUUUGGCUUGGUGCAAUAGCAGUUUUGGUAUAGCAGGGCUGUUUGGUAUGAUGCAAGUGGUAAGUUUGAACACAGCAUGACUAAUGUUUGUUUGUUUGAAACGGUUCACGAAUGUAGUAAUGUAUGCAGUGGCUGGUUGUUUUUGUAUAAUAUAUGCAGUGGCUGGUUGUUUUUGUACGAUGCAGGACCGGUACAUGGUUUAAUGGGAAGCGAGGGUUUGUAUGCUUUUGAAAAUGGCGGGUAAGAAUUUGAUGGCAGGGUUGAUUCUAGUGCAUGGUUUUAACAAUGGUGUGUGUUAAUGUGUGUAUGUAUUUGGUUUUGUAGGCUUGUACUGUGUGAUGGUUAAUUAACUUAGUUAAAGGGCUUUUAUAUGAACAUGUGUGGCAGUGUCUUAGUUUGGAAUGGUGUGAGUUUGGUUUAGCAUUGUGUUUGGUUUGGCAAGGGUUAAGGGGAUCUGAACUGAGUUAUGGUUGAGUAUGUUAGGAAUAAGAUAGGUUAGUUUGUAGUAUGGUGAUGAGUCAAAUUGGAUGAGUUUGAUUUGGUAUAUAUGAAAUGUUGAACUGAUGUGGCGCUAUGUGCAGGGCAGCGGAAUAGUAUGGACUGUAAUUUGAUGGGGCCAUAUGUCACAGAGUGAUAUGUAUGUGUGCAGAGUGAUAUGUAUGUGUGUAUGCUGUAGGGGUGACCUCAAACAAAUGUGUGAUGGAGCAAGGUACGGCUGCUGCAGGUUGAUGCUAGUUAAUAGUUGCUGUUAUGGGUAGCUUAGCCUGUAUGAUACAUAUGUGAGGAUGUGUUGGUUUUGAACAUGGCUUGAAGGGUUUAAUGGUGAGCUUUGUAUUUAUUGAAAUGUGGUUUAGAAAAAAAGGAUCUGUUAGAGAUUUGCUGUGUUGCUUUUCAAAACGGUAUUUUGGAUUUUCUGUAUUUUCCUUGACUUAGCUUUGCUGUUUCCGCAGGUUUUGGGACCGACGAGUUGUGCGUCGUAACCGCUUCUAAUGGCAAUGCCUGAGGCGGAUGAGUCUGUAUGUAGAUGGAGUCCUCGAGUGAGGUUGUUUAUCCGUGAAUAACAAGUCAAGCCAGAAGCACCAAUUGGGAUUUGAAACCAAGAGCCAAAUGAUAUUAUAGCUCUUUUUCGGCAUUAAUCUCCCUUCUGUAAUUUUAUACUUAGGACCACUACUCUUUCCUUGUGCGUUAACUCUCAGCUAGCGACCUUGUAAAUUGAUCAAAAGUGAAAAUAUUUGUCUUGAUGCCACUUCGAAUGUAACCGUUUGUUUGAAUUUGCAAUAUUCUAUCACAAGCACUUCAAAA